ACACACGCAAGUCGAGGGGCAGCAUUUUAGUUUGCUUGCAAACUGAAGAUGGCGACCGGCGCACGGGUGAGUAACACGUAUCCAACCUGCCGAUAACUCCGGGAUAGCCUUUCGAAAGAAAGAUUAAUACCGGAUGGCAUACGAAUAUCGCAUGAUAUUUUUAUUAAAGAAUUUCGGUUAUCGAUGGGGAUGCGUUCCAUUAGUUUGUUGGCGGGGUAACGGCCCACCAAGACUACGAUGGAUAGGGGUUCUGAGAGGAAGGUCCCCCACAUUGGAACUGAGACACGGUCCAAACUCCUACGGGAGGCAGCAGUGAGGAAUAUUGGUCAAUGGGCGAGAGCCUGAACCAGCCAAGUAGCGUGAAGGAUGAAGGCUCUAUGGGUCGUAAACUUCUUUUAUAUGGGAAUAAAGUUUUCCACGUGUGGAAUUUUGUAUGUACCAUAUGAAUAAGGAUCGGCUAACUCCGUGCCAGCAGCCGCGGUAAUACGGAGGAUCCGAGCGUUAUCCGGAUUUAUUGGGUUUAAAGGGAGCGUAGGUGGAUUGUUAAGUCAGUUGUGAAAGUUUGCGGCUCAACCGUAAAAUUGCAGUUGAAACUGGGAGUCUUGAGUACAGUAGAGGUGGGCGGAAUUCGUGGUGUAGCGGUGAAAUGCUUAGAUAUCACGAAGAACUCCGAUUGCGAAGGCAGCUCACUAGACUGUCACUGACACUGAUGCUCGAAAGUGUGGGUAUCAAACAGGAUUAGAUACCCUGGUAGUCCACACAGUAAACGAUGAAUACUCGCUGUUUGCGAUAUACAGUAAGCGGCCAAGCGAAAGCAUUAAGUAUUCCACCUGGGGAGUACGCCGGCAACGGUGAAACUCAA
rnacentral:rRNA from 1 species